UACAGAGUAGAAAACUGAGCGUUAAGUGUCCGUCGGACGGGGAGUUGCCGUCGGAACGAAAAAGGCAGAAUCUUUGCGGUUCGGUUUUCGCAUCCCGCUGAA
rfam:Ruminococcus sp. CAG:57 genomic scaffold, scf54